UAUUUUGAUUUUUUGUACUACAAUUCAGUUCUACUUCGUGAAGCAGAUAAAUAAGAUUGACAACGAUAAAAGUUUAAUUUUAAACAAAAUUUAAAAAAGAACAAAUUAAACAAAUUUAUUACAAGUGAAUUAUUGCAACGUUCUAUAAAACAAAGAAACAACAAGCAAAAAAAUUGCAUUUAAAUUUUCACCAAGUUCCUUUAAUUUAACAAAAGUGCUACAAAUUAAAACGAAAAUUUGAAAAAUUACACAAAAACAACAAAAAUACAUAAAUAAUUGAAUCUAUAGUAUAUUAUUAAAAGAAAACAUUUAGAUAAGUAA